CAGUGAUCACGGGGACACUCUCUGCAUGGGAUGAGCCACCAUUUUCUCACCUGGAAUAAAACCACAAGAUUGGCUCCUUAUCUACUUCAGGUUGAUGUUUAGAAGAUGUGUCAAAUGUGUGUGUGUCAUGAAGUUCAAAAUUCUUCAAAAAUCAAUGGUAAUGCUGAUAUGGCAAAGACGCUAAAUUACAGGCAGCAGUGGGAAGCUACUGAGUAAAAAGCACAGAAUCGUUUCAUAUAUGAGCCCAUGAGGAAUAUUCUGUUCAAGGAAUGGAGACAUAAGAAAAUUACCUAACUAACUCAUGAACCACACAUUAAGAACGUAGUCAGCUGUUGUAAAUGUGUAUCCGACAACAAACCAUUAUGUAUCUUUGGUUUAAUUAUAUGUGUUUAUUACACACCUGUACUGGAGAGUAAAGGCUGCUAUUUGCAUUACUUGUGGUUUUCUCUAUCAAAACAGCAUUAGCAUUAUGAAGCUUAUCAAGGUUAUGUAUAAUUUAUCUGGCUUGAGUAAGUCCCUUUAUUUUGUGCACAAUCAAAACAUGAUUAGGGAGAAAAAUUAGGAAAUGUUUUAAACAUUUUAGCAAAUAAUUUCUAAAUUUAGAAAUGUAGUGAAUUUUACAUUUCUAGACAAAUAUCAUCAAAUUACUAAGCCUUUGUAAAUCAGCCUAUGUUUAGAAAGAGAGUAAAAAUGUUAGAUGAAUUCAACACUUAAUUUUUUCCCCAGAGUUUCAUCUUAAAGAGUAUUAAUUGUAACGAUGCUGAUGGUGUUAUUAACAGAGUACUUAUGAAUAUGGAAAAAUGUCAGACUUCCAAAUAAUCUGAGAUAUGCUAUUUUUACAAGUCACACUAAAUAAAC
rnacentral:lncRNA from 1 species